rnacentral:tRNA from 1 species
GGAGAGGUGGCUGAGUGGUCGAAAGCAGCGGUUUGCUAAACCGUCGUAGGGGACUAAAACCUCUACCGAGGGUUCGAAUCCCUCCCUCUCCGCCA